UUCGCAAUGCCCGAAAGGGUGACGAAGCGACGCCGCGUGUGGGAAGAAGGCCUUCGGGUUGUAAACCACUGUCGGGAGUUAAGAAAUGCAAGGAUAUGAAUAGUGUCUUUGCUUGACUAAGGCUCCGGAGGAAGCCACGGCUAACUCUGUGCCAGCAGCCGCGGUGAUACAGAGGCGGCAAGCGUUGUUCGGAAUUAUUGGGCGUAAAGAGCACGUAGGCGGCUAUGUAAGUCGGUUGUGAAAGCCUUCCGCUCAACGGGAGAACAGCAUCCGAUACUACAUGGCUUGAGUGCGGGAGGGGAGAGUGGAACUUCUGGUGGAGCGGUGAAAUGCGUAGAUAUCAGAAGGAACGCCGGCGGCGAAAGCGGCUCUCUGGCCCAUAACUGACGCUGAGUGUGCGAAAGCUAGGGGAGCAAACGGGAUUAGAUACCCCGGUAGUCCUAGCCGUAAACGAUGGGCACUAAGUAGAGGGGUUUU
rnacentral:rRNA from 1 species